rnacentral:piRNA from 1 species
UUAAGGGGAACGUGUGGGCUAUUUAGGCUA